UGGGGAAUAUUGGACAAUGGGCGAAAGCCUGAUCCAGCCAUGCCGCGUGUGUGAAGAAGGUCUUCGGAUUGUAAAGCACUUUAAGUUGGGAGGAAGGGCAGUAAGCGAAUACCUUGCUGUUUUGACGUCACCGACAGAAUAAGCACCGGCUAACUCUGUGCCAGCAGCCGCGGUAAUACAGAGGGUGCAAGCGUUAAUCGGAAUUACUGGGCGUAAAGCGCGCGUAGGUGGUUCGUUAAGUUGAAUGUGAAAGCCCCGGGCUCAACCUGGGAACUGCGUCCAAAACUGGCGAGCUAGAGGAGGGCAGAGGGUGGUGGAAUUUCCUGUGUAGCGGUGAAAUGCGUAGAUAUAGGAAGGAACACCAGUGUCGAAGGCGACCACCUGGGCUCAUACUGACACUGAGGUGCGAAAGCGUGGGGAGCAAACAGG
rnacentral:rRNA from 1 species